UCCAGGUGUGGUGGUACACACCUGCAUUCCCAGCUACUUGGAGGCUGAGGCAAGAGGAUCACAAGUUGGAGACCAGCCUGGGCAACUUGGUGAAACCCUGUCUCUA
rnacentral:sRNA from 1 species